rnacentral:rRNA from 1 species
CCUACGGGAGGCAGCAGUCGAGAAUCAUUCACAAUGGGGGAAACCCUGAUGGUGCGACGCCGCGUGGGGGAAUGAAGGUCUUCGGAUUGUAAACCCCUGUCAUGUGGGAGCAAAUUAAAAAGAUAGUACCACACGAGGAAGAGACGGCUAACUCUGUGCCAGCAGCCGCGGUAAUACAGAGGUCUCAAGCGUUGUUCGGAAUCACUGGGCGUAAAGCGUGCGUAGGCUGUUUCGUAAGUCGUGUGUGAAAGGCGCGGGCUCAACCCGCGGACGGCACAUGAUACUGGGGGACUAGAGAAUUGGAGGGGAAACCGGAAUGCGCGGUGUAGCAGUGAAAUGCGUAGAUAUCGAGCGGAACACUCGUGGCGAAGGCGGGUUCCUGGACAUUAACUGACGCUGAGGCACGAAGGCCAGGGGAGCGAAAGGGAUUAGAUACCCCAGUAGUC